rnacentral:misc_RNA from 1 species
CUAAGGAUUAUGUCAGUGGAACAUCUUCGGAUGCAGAAGCUGUACAUUUCGGAAAUGAACCUUCGGGUUCAUAGCGUUGACAUUUUGCGUUCAGUUUUGAAGGCUCAUUUGAGCGGCUUCGGCCGUUUUUUAUAUGGACUUCAACACUUGUUCUUUGAAAACUGGAUAAAACAACAUUGAAGCAACAAAUCAAGACAAUCAACUGAGUCGGACACAGCAAUGUGAGCCGAACAGCGAUUCUUUUUAGUUCUGUCAACACUCAUCGCUGAGUGGACCACAGAACGUUAACUUUUU